rnacentral:rRNA from 1 species
CACCGCGGUUAUACGAGAGGCCCAAGUUGACAGCCCCCGGCGUAAAGCGUGGUUAAGGCAUACUUUAAAACUAAAGCCGAAUAUCUUCAGAGCAGUUAUACGCAUCCGAAGACACGAAGCCCCACCACGAAAGUGGCUUUAUGGCACCUGAUCCCACGAAAGCUAGGACA